rnacentral:rRNA from 1 species
GAUGAACGCUAGCGACAGGCUUAACACAUGCAAGUCGAGGGGCAGCACGAUGUAGCAAUACAUUGGUGGCGACCGGCGCACGGGUGGGUAACGCGUAUGCAACCUACCUAUCAGAGGGGAAUAACCCGGCGAAAGUCGGACUAAUACCGCAUAAAACAGGGGUUCCACAUGGAAAUAUUUGUUAAAGAAUUAUCGCUGAUAGAUGGGCAUGCGUUCCAUUAGAUAGUUGGUGAGGUAACGGCUCACCAAGUCCACGAUGGAUAGGGGUUCUGAGAGGAAGGUCCCCCACACUGGUACUGAGACACGGACCAGACUCCUACGGGAGGCAGCAGUGAGGAAUAUUGGUCAAUGGGCGAGAGCCUGAACCAGCCAAGUCGCGUGAAGGAUGAAGGAUCUAUGGUUUGUAAACUUCUUUUAUAUGGGAAUAAAGUGAGGAACGUGUUCCUUUUUGUAUGUACCAUAUGAAUAAGCAUCGGCUAACUCCGUGCCAGCAGCCGCGGUAAUACGGAGGAUGCGAGCGUUAUCCGGAUUUAUUGGGUUUAAAGGGUGCGUAGGUGGCUAAUUAAGUCAGCGGUGAAAGUUUGUGGCUCAACCAUAAAAUUGCCGUUGAAACUGGUUAGCUUGAGUAUAUUUGAGGUAGGCGGAAUGCGUGGUGUAGCGGUGAAAUGCAUAGAUAUCACGCAGAACUCCGAUUGCGAAGGCAGCUUACUAAACUAUAACUGACACUGAAGCACGAAAGCGUGGGGAUCAAACAGGAUUAGAUACCCUGGUAGUCCACGCAGUAAACGAAGAUUACUAGCUGUUUGCGAUACACAGUAAGCGGCACAGCGAAAGCGUUAAGUAAUCCACCUGGGGAGUACGCCGGCAACGGUGAAACUCAAAGGAAUUGACGGGGGCCCGCACAAGCGGAGGAACAUGUGGUUUAAUUCGAUGAUACGCGAGGAACCUUACCCGGGUUUGAACGCAUUCGGACCGGAGUGGAAACACUUCUUCUAGUAAUAGCCGUUUGCGAGGUGCUGCAUGGUUGUCGUCAGCUCGUGCCGUGAGGUGUCGGCUUAAGUGCCAUAACGAGCGCAACCCUUAUCACUAGUUACUAACAGGUCAUGCUGAGGACUCUAGUGAGACUGCCAGCGUAAGCUGUGAGGAAGGUGGGGAUGACGUCAAAUCAGCACGGCCCUUACAUCCGGGGCGACACACGUGUUACAAUGGUGGGGACAAAGGGCAGCUACCGUGUGAGCGGAUGCAAAUCUCCAAACCCCAUCUCAGUUCGGAUCGAAGUCUGCAACCCGACUUCGUGAAGCUGGAUUCGCUAGUAAUCGCGCAUCAGCCAUGGCGCGGUGAAUACGUUCCCGGGCCUUGCACA